UAACUGGUUUCCAUUGAUCGAUGUUUCU
rnacentral:sRNA from 1 species